rnacentral:rRNA from 1 species
AUUGAACGCUGGCGGCAUGCCUUACACAUGCAAGUCGAACGGUAACGGGCCUUCGGGUGCCGACGAGUGGCGAACGGGUGAGUAAUGUAUCGGAACGUACCUUUCAGUGGGGGAUAACGUAGCGAAAGUUACGCUAAUACCGCAUAUUCUGUGAGCAGGAAAGCAGGGGAUCGCAAGACCUUGCGCUGAUUGAGCGGCCGAUAUCAGAUUUGCUAGUUGGUGAGGUUAAGGCUCACCAAGGCGACGAUCUGUAGCGGGUCUGAGAGGAUGAUCCGCCACACUGGAACGGAGACACGGUCCAGACUCCUACGGGAGGCAGCAGUGGGGAAUUUUGGACAAUGGGGGCAACCCUGAUCCAGCCAUGCCGCGUGAGUGGAGAAGGCCUGCGGGUUGUAAAGCUCUUUCGGCCGGGAAGAAAUCGUAUCAGCUAAUACCUGGUGCGGAUGACGGUACCGGCAUAAGAAGCACCGGCUAACUACGUGCCAGCCGCCGCGGUAAGAC